rnacentral:ncRNA from 1 species
UAACGAUAGAGGCGCGGGUUUGAUCAGUAUCUCAUUCUAGCCCUGCCACGGGCGCCACAGAAUGGAGGGAAAGGCAAAACCGCCGAAGGGAGCUUCUGGCAAGAGAUCCCUGGGGGUCGCUGUUAAUAGCGUGGCAACUGUCAUCAUUCAAUAUGAUGGAGUGCUAUCGGU